rnacentral:rRNA from 1 species
CACGUGAAACCCUGUCUGAAUCUGCCGGGACCAUCCGGUAAGGCUAAAUACUAACCAGACACCGAUAGUGAACUAGUACCGUGAGGGAAAGGUGAAAAGAACCCCGGGAGGGGAGUGAAAUAGAUUCUGAAACCAUUUACUUACAAUUAGUCAGAGCCCGUUAAUGGGUGAUGGCGUACAUCUUGCAGUAUGGACCGGCGAGUUAUGUUAACAUGCGAGGUUAAGUGGAAAAAAACGGAGCCGCAGAGAAAUCGAGUCUUAAUAGGGCGUUUAGUAUGUUGAUAUAUACCCGAAACCAUGUGAUCUAUUCAUGAGCAGACUGAAGCUUGGCUAACCCCAAGUGGAGGGUCGAACCGUAGUACGCUGAAAAGUGCCCGGAUGACUUGUGAAUAGUGGAGAAAUUCCAAUCGAACUUGGAGAUAGCUGGUUCUCCUCGAAAUAGCUUUAGGGCUAGCGUGUGAUGUUAAACUUUGGUGGUAGAGCACUGAAUAUGGAAUGGCCGCGCCUAGCGGUACUGACUAUAAUCAAACUCCGAAUACCAUUGUGUAUUAUCAUGCAGUCGGAACCGGGGUGCUAACGUCCCGGCUCGCGAGGGAAACAACCCAGAUCGUCAGCUAAGGUCCCAAAAUCGUGUUAAGUCAGAAAGGUUGUGAGAUUUCAUAAACAACUAGGAGGUUGGCUUAGAAGCAGCCAUCCUUUAAAGAGUGCGUAAUAGCUCACUAGUCAAGAGAUCUUGCGCCAAUAAUGUAACGGGAGU